rnacentral:rRNA from 1 species
ACACCCGAAAUUAUCUUAGCUAACCUUUACAGGAGGCGGGUAAUGAAGGUGAGGAGAGUGACUGGGGUGAAGUCGUAACAAGGUAGCUGUAGGUGAACCUGCAGAAGGAUCA